GAUGAACGCUGGCGGCGUGCCUAAUACAUGCAAGUCGAGCGAACAGACGAGGAGCUUGCUCCUCUGACGUUAGCGGCGGACGGGUGAGUAACACGUGGAUAACCUACCUAUAAGACUGGGAUAACUUCGGGAAACCGGAGCUAAUACCGGAUAAUAUAUUGAACCGCAUGGUUCAAUAGUUAAAGACGGUUUUGCUGUCUCUUAUAGAUGGAUCCACGCCGCAUUAGCUAGUUGGUAAGGUAACGGCUUACCAAGGCAACGAUGCGUAGCCGACCUGAGAGGGUGAUCGGCCACACUGGAACUGAGACACGGUCCAGACUCCUACGGGAGGCAGCAGUAGGGAAUCUUCCGCAAUGGGCGAAAGCCUGACGGAGCAACGCCGCGUGAGUGAUGAAGGUCUUCGGAUCGUAAAACUCUGUUAUUAGGGAAGAACAAAUGUGUAAGUAACUAUGCACGUCUUGACGGUACCUAAUCAGAAAGCCACGGCUAACUACGUG
rnacentral:rRNA from 1 species